CCGCCAGGGCAGCUGUCAGAGGGAGGCUGUAACCCAGCAGGCGGCUGAAAGGACCCACAGGCCAGUGAUCAGGGGCUCAUCUCAGUGCGAAGGCAGGACAAUGGCGGAUGAGGAUAUCUAUGAGAACAUGCCGAGGACGGAAGCUGCUCCCCAGCCCAAAGGAAAUCCUCCCACGACAUCGGUCCCUUGGCGGCCCAGGGCGGGGGGCAUCGUCACUGCUGUCCUUCUCCUCCUGAGUCUGGCCCUGGCCACGUCCCUCCUGGCUGUGACGCUUCUAUGUAAGUUCAACUGCAGGUCCAAGCCCAAUGUUUGCCAACUUCCAUACAGGCCAGCUGCCUCGACGGGGGGGAGGGCACCCCCACAUUUCAGCAGAAUAUCGACCGUGUUUCCAGUCUGUCCCUCCAAAUAAAUCUCCUACUCCAGGGAGUUCGAAUGGA